ensembl:lncRNA
GAAAGGGGGAGGCAGGAGGAGGAAAGAAGAGGAGGAGAGGAGAGGAGAGGAGAGGAGAGGAGAGGAGAGGAGAGGAGAGGAGAGGAGAGGAGAGGAGAGGAGAGGAGAGGAGGAGGGAGGCAGCAGGAGGAAAGAAGAAGAGAGGAGAGGAGAGGAGAGGAGAGGAGAGGAGAGGAGAGGAGAGGAGAGGAGAGGAGAGGAGAGGAGAGGAGAGGAGAGGAGAGGAGAGGAGAGGAGAGGAGAGGAAGGAGGCGAGAAGGGGGGAGGCAGGAGGAGGAAAGAAGAGGAGGGAGGGGAGGAGAGAGGAGAGUGAGGAAGGAGGCGAGAAGGGGGGAGGCAGGAAGGAGGAAAGAAGAGGAGGGAGGGGAGGAGAGAGAGCAGAGGAAGGAGGCGAGAAGGGGGGAGGCAGGAGGAGGAAAGAAGAGGAGGGGGGGGAGACGAGAGGAGGGUAAAGGAAGGAGGCGAGAAGGGGGGAGGCAGGAGGAGGAAAGAAGAGGAGGGAGAGGAGGAGAGAGGAGAGAGGAAGGAGGAAGAAGGAGGAGGAGGGGGAAGGAGGAGGAAAGAAGAGGAGGGAGGGGGAGGAGAGAGGAGAGGGAGGAAGGAGGAGAGAAGGAGGAGAAAGGAGGAGGAGAAGAGAGAAAGAAGAGAGGGGAGGGGAGGAGGACCGAGGAACGGAGAGGAAGGAGGAGAGAAGGGGGGAGGCAGGAGGAGGAAAGAAGAGGAGGGAGGGGAGGAGAGGAGAGAGGAGGGGAGAGAAGAGGAAGGAGGCGAGAAGGGGGGAGGCAGGAGGGGGAAAGAAGAGGAGGGAGAGGAAGAGAGAGGAGAGAAGAGGAAGGAGGCGAGAAGGGGGGAGGCAGGAGGGGGAAAGAAGAGGAGGGAGGGGAGGAGAGAGAGAGGAGGAGGAGGAGAGAGGGGGGAGAAAGGGGGGGGAGACAGGAGGAGGACAGAAGAGGAGGGAGGGGAGGAGAGGAGGGUAGAGGAAGGAGGCGAGAAGGGGGGAGGCAGGAGGAGGAAAGAAGAGGAGGGAGGGGAGGAGAGGAGAGAGGAGGGGAGAGGAGAGGAAGGAGGCGAGAAGGGGGGAGGCAGGAGGAAGGAAAAGAAGAGGAGGGAGGGGAGGAGGAGAGGAGGAGAGUGAGGAAGGAGGCGAGAAGGGGGGAGGCAGGAGGGGGAAAGAAGAGGAGGGAGGGGAGGAGAGGAGAGAGGAGGGGAGAGAAGAGGAAGGAGGCGAGAAGGGGGGAGGCAGGAGGGGGAAAGAAGAGGAGGGAGAGGAGGAGAGAAGUAGAGGAGGAAGAAGGAGGAGGACAGAGGACCGCAGAUGAAGAGGGAGGAGAGAAGAGGAGAAGGGAGGAGGAGGAAAGGGGAAAGAAUAGGUGGAGGGAGGCAAAGGACAGGGGACAGAAGGAGAAGAGAAUAGGAUGGAGGACAGAAGAAGAGGAGGAGGAAAGAAACAACAAAAGCAGACAAACGGUAAUUUUGGAGCCCAUCACACAUAGGAAGGAACAAAACAGCGUUAAGGCACCAGUGAAAGCGAGGGGAGGAUGGGCUCGGCUCACUUCGGUUCUGUUGACCCGCUGCUCUAUGGCCAGGCCACUCGGGCCCGUGGGCUCCGUCUGGACCUCCUGUAGGCCAAAGGUGGCAUUUGAGCGGGGGGAGGAGGACGGCACCGGCUGGGCCUGGGGCUCCGGACUGGGAUGCUCCAUGGAGUAG